GCAACUAAUAAUAUAGCCAGAUAACCUAGUUGUCUGUAAAAGGGCUUUAACCUAAUGGCAAUGCUUAUUACAUUAGCUAAUAGCUAGGUUUUAAUUUUUUUUUCAGGCCCAGUUGGUUUCUCUGGCAAGCCAACCCCAUACCUUUAUUCCCCUGUGUAAGAUCCACACAAAAGCCAAUAUGGUUGGAGGCUAAAAGGACCCCAAGAGGCUGCACAGGAUGCUAUAUUCACAUGAAGCUUUUCCUUUUGGACUUUGAUGAGUCAUAAUGUGUUCUCUGAACUUGCUUUUCUCUUUCUAGUUUGGCAUCAAGAGAUAGAAGCCGCUUUUUCAUGUCUGUCUGGCCACAUUCACUUGUUAUGAACACCAGCCAGCAUGCUGUUCUGAGGUUUGCUUAUUGCCUCAGGAGGUCUGCCAGCUGCUGAAUGAUC
rnacentral:lncRNA from 1 species